rnacentral:rRNA from 1 species
CCUACGGGAGGCAGCAGUGGGGAAUAUUGGACAAUGGGGGCAACCCUGAUCCAGCCAUGCCGCGUGUGUGAAGAAGGCCCUCGGGUUGUAAAGCACUUUCAGGGAGGAAGAACGCCUGGUGGUUAAUACCCAUCAGGAAAGACAUCACUCACAGAAGAAGCACCGGCUAACUCCGUGCCAGCAGCCGCGGUAAUACGGAGGGUGCGAGCGUUAAUCGGAAUUACUGGGCGUAAAGCGCGCGUAGGUGGCUUGAUAAGCCGGUUGUGAAAGCCCCGGGCUCAACCUGGGAACGGCAUCCGGAACUGUCAAGCUAGAGUGCAGGAGAGGAAGGUAGAAUUCCCGGUGUAGCGGUGAAAUGCGUAGAGAUCGGGAGGAAUACCAGUGGCGAAGGCGGCCUUCUGGACUGACACUGACACUGAGGUGCGAAAGCGUGGGUAGCAAACAGGAUUAGAUACCCGAGUAGUC